rnacentral:lncRNA from 1 species
AGUGAAGAAAGAACUUAAAAAUUUUAAUCAUUGGAAUUGAUACUUUUUGUGGGGUGGGAAUCACUGUCCUUUAGUCCAGUUUCUUCCCAUCAGUCCUAACCCCAUUUCAUUUUGACCCGGCCCAUCCCAUUCUUGAUUUUGUAAUCAAGAUAUGAAUGUACAAAUUAUAUAUAUCAUAUUUCUGUUAAAAUAUUAAUAUAGAGCAUGGCCACAAAAUAAGCAGAGAGAUGUGUAUAGAUGAAUUUAAUAUGAAAUAUGUUAGUAUGAAAAUAUGCAUGCAGUUGUCACAUACAAUAGUAACACUUUAUAAGUAUUGAUAAAAGUACACUUCUUUGUAAGUAAAUAUAUGUAUAUGAUAGAAAAGGUUGAAAACAUGAGUUUGUGGGAGACAUUUACAAUAUUGUUACAGAUUCAGUCUAUUAUCUUAAAUGGAAUAAUUAUUGAAUCUGGUACCACUCUUGGGUAGAACAAAAUAAGCAGAGAAUGGAUUUGUAUAAAUGAAUUCAAUAUGAAAUAACUGUUCAUGUGAAAGUAUGUCUUAUUAAUGCAAUGAACAUUUGCUAUAGUUAAACUUGAUUAGAAAUGGUAAAAGUACAUUUCUUUUUAAAAAUGUAUAUAUGAUAGAAAAGGUCAGUAGACUGCCAAUGACAACUGACUUUAUGUCCCGUUCAUAUGUGUAGUCAGUGAUUUCAAUAGAAAGGAUUUAAUAUGAAGUAACUUAAAGGAAAAAUCAUUUAAAUGUUAUAAAAAGUGACAUAAAUAGUGUUAAUAAAUGGAAUUGAUAUUUUUCGUGGGGAAGGGAAUCACUGUCCUGACUAUUCCAGAUCCUUCCCAUUAAUACAAAUAAUAGAUAAUGUAACAUUCCUGAAUGAAAGUAUUAAAUUUAAAUGUAGAGCAUUGUUGCAUUAAAAGCAGACAAAAGAUGUAAAUAGAUAAAUUUGAUAUGAAAUAAGUUUGUGUGAAAAUAUGUCAUAUUCAUGUAGUUGACCAUUUUUUACACUUUCUAUAGUCACACUUCAUAAGAAGUGGUGAAAUAUACUUCUGUAUAAUGUAUAUGUGAUGUUUGUAUAGUAUUUAGAGUGAAGAAAGAACAUAAAAUGUUAAUAAUUGAAAUUGAUACUUUGUAGGGGAUGGAAACAUUGUCCAGUCUAUACCAGUUCCUUCCCAUUCAUGCCUAUCCUAAGCCAUCCUGACCAGGUCCAUCCCAUUUCUGAUGGGUAAUUUCUGUAUGAUAGUACAAAUAAUAUAUGAUACAGCAUAUUAGAAUUAAAAUAUUCAUGUUGAGUAUUGCCCAAAUAAAAAAAAUUAUGAAUAUGUUUUAUUCAUGCAAUUGACACUUACUAUGGUAACACUUUAUAAGAAGUGAUAAAGUACACUUCUUUAUAAGCAGAUAUAUAUUUGAUAGAAAAAGUUAAAACAGUUGUUGAAAGUUACAUUCUUGUGGUAUUUUGAGAAGUAUGGUAAAAGAAUUGUUUGAUAGGUAAAAUACUUUCUGUGUUUCAGUCAUAUUUGCUGAAUUUGCUGACUAUUGUUGAAGCUGUGGAUUUUUCCUGGGAAAGAAUGAAGAAUGUUUUUCAAGAAGAGACUGUAUUCAUUUUGUAGUGUUUGAAGUGGCGAAAGAAUAACAAAUGGGUACUUACUUGAAAUUACAUUUUUUGUGGAGUUGGGAAUCUCUGUCCUAUAUAUUCAUGUUCCGUCCUAUCCUGACCUGGCCCAUCCAUUCCUGAUUGAUAAUCUAGAAGUGUUUGUAAAAAGAGCAUGUUGCAUAUUUGAAAGGAAUUAUAUAUUGAAGUAGUGUAGUAGAAUAUGGUCACAAAAUAAGCUGAAAAAAAGACAGUGUAUACAAAAUAUGAUUACCAAAUAUGUUUGUGUGAAAAUGUGUUUUAUUUAUGUAAUGGGUACUUAGUUUAGUUUAUUAUGGUAUAAAAAUAGUGUGUUUCAUGAAAGUAUAUACGAGUUUUGUCAAACAUAUGGAUGCAGUUAUACAGUAUUAUACAGGAUAUAAGAUAGAACAAAUAUUAAACCUGGAAUGACAUUUGUAGCAAUAUGGAAAAACUUGGUCUAUUGGGUACAUAAACAUUCUGAAUGUAACAACAUGACAAGUCUCUUACAUUGUACUUUUUCUAGAGACAGAAGACAAAAGAUGUUGAAUGUGACAGCUGUAAAUGCUGGAAAAGGAAAUAGUAGGCUACAAGACUGAUUUCCAAACCAAAUGAUAGGCACUUGCAGUGUUGUUUAUAAUGAUACUUAAAGUCUUGAAGUGUUGUUUAUAAAAGGUUUCAUUGAUAUGUUGACAUGUUCAACACAGGUAAAUGUCAACUUCUCCACUCAUAUUAGAGGUGGAGGAUGAUUGAUUCAGACUUUAGUUUACGAGGAUUUAGCUAAUUUAUUCCAUGCAUCUUUUACCAUGAUUUUAGAUGGCUAAGUUCCAAAACAUCAGCACUCUUAGGAGAAACACCAUGGAUGAAGAAUCAGAAGGCUUAAUCAACGGAUGGUGAAAAUUGUCACAUGCUUCAAGAAAAAUGCCAGCUGGAAAGAUAAAAUCCCUCACACCACCAGUACCAACUCUGACAGAUGGUAUCUCACCAUGUAGUAGAUUCACCGUGAUACAUCAUAGAGCAGAAUCUGAUAUAGCUGGUCAACUUAUACAAGAAUGUUGAGACAUUGAUAGUUGGUUUCCUGCAAAGAAGAAUGUAUAAUAUGACACCUGCAGCCAGAGUUUGGAGAAGGGGAUCAGCUCAUAGAACAUUGGAGGGGUCAGAUGACAAUAUUGAUACAGGUUAUGAAGGUGAUCUACAAGAUGAUUCUACAACUGCCAAUGAACUUCGGUAGAAGAGCUGAGAGGAAUAGAGUGAGCAGAUUGCAGUACAGUCAAACCUGUCUAUAAAGACCACCCAUGGAAGAGCCAAAAUGUGGUCUUUAUUGGGAGGUGGUCAUUAUUCACAGGUUAAAAUAUAUUGUAAAUGUUCAAAUGGGAAACAAAACAUGUGUUCUUUAGAGCCGGAUGGUCUCUGUUCAGAGGUGGUCUUUAACACCGGUUUGACUGUAUACACAUCAGUUGGAGUGGAACAGGCAGAUUUCAAUACAUACUACAUCAGUGGGAAAAGUGCAAUGAAGUUCAGCUGUUUCCAUCUUGAAA